GAAGAUCCCCUGGAGGAGGGCUUGGCAACACACUCCAGUAUUCUUGCCUGAAGAAUCCCCAUGGACAGAGGAGCGUGGUGGUCUGCAGUCCAUGGGGUCACAAAGAGUCAGACAUGACUGACCAACGAGGCACAGAUGGCCUUUAGAUUUUGCUGUUAUUUUCCUUUGCUGUUCAAAAGAUUUUUUGUUUGAUGUAGUCCUAUUUAUUUUUGUUUUUGUUUCCCUUGCCUGAGAAGACAGAGCAAAAAAGCAAAUAUUGCUAAGGCCGAUGUCAAACAGCAUGCUGCUUGUGUUUUUUUCUAGGAGUUUUAAGAUUUCAUGUUUUAUGUUUGAGUUUUUAAUCCAUUUUAGUUUAUUUCUGUAUGUAGUAUGAGAAAAUAGUCUAGUUAGAUUUUGACAGCAUGUAGCUGUCCAGUUUUCCCCAAACCAUUUGCUGGGGAGACUAUCUUUCCCUCAUUGUGUGUAUUUGCCUCCUUUCUUGUAGGUUAAUUGGCUACAUAAUUUUGGAUUUAGCUCUGGGCCCUCUAUUCUGUUCCAUUGAUUACUGUGUCUGCUUUUGUCCGAGUGGCAUAUUGUUUGGAUUAUUGUAGCUCGGUAGUAUAAUUUGAAGUCAGCGUGCAUGAUACAUCCUGCUUUAUCCUUCUUACUCAAGAUCGUUUUGGCAGUUGAGGGGCUUUUGUGCUUCCAUACCAAUUUUACAGUUAUUUGUUCAAGUUCUGUGAAAAAUGCCGUUUGUAUUUUGAUAGAGAUUUCUUAAAUCUGCAGAUUGCGUUGGAGAGUAUGAUCAUCAUAAUAUUAAUUUUUCCCAAUCACAGGCAGGACAUAUCUUCAUAUUGUUUGUGUCAUCUUCAGUUCCUUACAUCAGUGUCUCAUAGUUUUCCAAGUACAAGUUUCUUCCUCCUCAGAUUUAUUCCUCUGUAUUUUGUUCUUUUUGAUGCGGCUAUAAAUAGAAUUAUUUUCUUAAUUUCUCUUUCUUAUAGUUUCACUAUUUGUGUAUAGGAAUGCAACAGAUUUACAGAUAUAAAUUUUGUAUUCUACAACUUUUUCUGUAUUCAUUGAUGAGCUCUAAUAGUCUUGCCACCUCAUUAAGGUUUUCUAUAUAAAGUACCAUGUCAUCUGAAAACAGUGACAGUUUUUCUUCUUUUUCAAUUUGGAAUUCUUUUGUCAACUAAAAAAACACACAAUGUGUUAGUUGUGAGUCAAAUUUUAUUUGGGACAAAAUCGGGACUAUAGCCUAAGAUAUAGCAUUUCAGAUAGCUCUGAGAAGCUUCUCCAAAAAGAUAAGGGGGUAGGUCAGUGCAUAUGUGAUUUUGGUAAAGGGAAAAUACAUGAAAUUAAGCACAUACUGUUUUGCAGAAGUCUGCUGCUUGUCUUAUGACAGUUACUGCUAAUCUCAAGAAAUAGACAUCACCAUUAAAGAUUUUAGUACUUUUCUAGAUAUGAGGAGAUGUAAGAAUUGGGCUCAUGAUAUCUCCUCCUGAAAAUAUCUAUCUGAAUUCUCUUCUGUGAACUUUUUCCAAGGCACAGUGACCUCCACCCUCUCCUCCUCUCAGCCUGUGUUGAAGGUCAGCAGUCACAGAAGCUUAUGACUUGAUCCUUGUAGAGGUAAAUGGCAAGUGCCAAUUUGUAGUUGAUAUUUUUAUUUCUUUCUGUAUUUUUUGUCUGAUUGUUGUUCCUAGGACAAUAUCAAUGUGUUAUUAGAUAACAUAUUAAAUAAAAGUGGCAAGAGUGGGCAUCCUUGACUUGUUUCUGUUUUCACCCACAAUGUUAACUGUGGGUCUGUCAUAUAUGACUGUUAUUAUGUUGAAGUAUAUUCCCUCUAUAUCCAUUUAGCUGACACUUUUUUUUUAAAUCACAAAGAGAUGAAUUUUGUCAAAAGCUUCUUCCAAAUCUACUGAGACAAUCAUAUAAUUUUUAUUCUUCAAUUUUUAAUGUGAUGUAUCACAUUGAUUUGCAGAUUUUGAAACAUUCUUGCAUCCCUGGGAUAAAUACCACUUGAUUAUGGUGGAUGAUCCUUUUAAUGUAUUGUUGAAGUUGGUUUUCUAAUGUUUUCUUAGGAAUUCUUGAAUCUAUGUUCAUCAGUGGUAUUGGACUAUAAUUUUUUUUCAAGUAUUUUUGUCUGGAUUGGGUAUCUGAGUGAUGCUGGCCUUGCAGAAUGAAUUAGGAAAUCUUCCUUCCUCUGCAAUGGUUUAGUGUCGUUUGAGCAGGAUAGGUAUUAUCUCUACUCUAAAUAUGUGGUAGAAUUCACCUGUGAGACUGCCUGUCCUGGGCUUGCUUAUUGGAAGUUUUUAAAGUUACUGAUUCAGUUUCAUUACUGAUCUGCUCAUGUUUUCUAUAUCUUCCUGGUUAAGUCAUAGGAAAUCAUACAUUUCUAGGAUCUGGUAGUUUUUCUAGGUGGUUCACUUUAUUGAUAUAUAAUUGUUUGUAUGUCUUUGUCUUUCUGUGGUGUCAGUUGUAAGUUUUCUGUUUUAAAUAAUUUAAUUUUAAAAAUAUUUAUUUUAGGGUCUGACACCACCAGUUUACAGAUGUCUUUACUCUGAAUAUUUUGAAGACUGUUCUCAUAAGAUUUGUUUACCACCUUAAUUUUCUCCCAGAGCUAUUUUUUUAAUUUAUUCAACUAAGGCAAUGUAUGUGGUGGAAAAAUAUAAGGCUUUGAUAUAUAACGUUAAUCAAGGUAUUUAAUAUCUCUAAGCUACAGUAUUUCCAUGUGCUAAAUGCGAUUAGCAUCUACUUCAUUGAUUGUUUGCUUUUUGUUGGGUGAGAAAUAGAUGAGAAUCUCAACUCCUCAACAGAAAAAGUGUCACUGAUUUUGUUAAUUGUGGUUCCUCAGCACUGGUUCAGAACAGCACCUGGCACAUAAUAGUUGCUGAAUGAAUAUUUACUUAAAGACUCAAUAAAGUAUGCAAUAUUGGACUUCCGUUGUAAUGAUGUCAUUCUGAAAUUUAAAAUUAAGUACUAAGGACAUACCAUCUGCUAAGAAUAUGAGAGAACAAAAGUGAGGGAAAAGAGAAACAAGAAUAAGAAAUUAAUGAGAGAGACAGAAGCUACAAAAGAGACUAUGAGAGAGAAUAAAAAGGCAUCCAGAAAUAAGAGAAAGGAGUGUGUACAUAAAGUUAGUCACUCAGUUGUGCCCAACUCUGCGACCCCAUGGACUGUAGCCCACCAGGCUCCUCUGUCCAUGGAAUUGUCCAGGCAAGAAUACUAGAGUAGGUUGCCAUUCUCUUCUCCAGGGGAUCUUCCCAACCAAAGGAUCAAACCCAGGUCUCCUGCAUUGCAGGCAGACUCUUUACUGACUGAGCCACCAGGGAAGCCAGUGUGUACAUAAAGACUAGUUAACUGAAAAGACCAAUCUCUAUACUAUUUUACAAGCAGGUGAAUUUUUAAAAAAUUAGUCUCCUUUGGCAGCAAGAAGCUUUCUGCAGAAGCAGUACGUUCGAAGCAAAUUUUUAUACCUGUUGCUUAGCAUUGAUUGGAUAUAUAAUACAGGUUUAUUCAAUUUCUUAGACUAUCUUAAAGUCCCUAAGUAUGUCUUCAAUUAUUUACUGAUAGAAUUUAACCAACAAGCUAGUAUCCUAGAGCUUCCGUAGCGUUUUCUUUGGUUGUUCUCAGCAUCUAUUUGCAUGGCAUCAUUAUACAUUCCCUGUGAAGCACGCCAAGGAAUGGCCACAGGUGGCUGGCAUACUCUGACUAUGUCCAGGAGACCCAUAUCAUUAGGAUAAUGACCACAAGUCAUCCUGCCGGGCUAUGUGUUGGAAAUCAAAACAAGAGGCAAAAUCAACAUAAGUGCAGUUAAUUUAAGGUACUUUCUCUCUAUUUAUUAAAGCUAAUUUCAAGUCUGUUUCACAUACAACAAUUGCCCAAGGGAUUAAAAUGUCCACGUCAUAUAACAGAGUUGCUCUCACACUGCCCCUGGCUUUAAUACUUCCAGGAACGGAUUUCACUGCUUGUGACGUUAUUGCUGGAAAGAGUCCUACUGUAAAAUAAGUAUCAAUGAUGUCUUGGCAAUGCCAAAGCAAUUUAUGAGUUUUAUGACCAUCUAUACUGGUGUCUAGUAUUAAAGCAAUACAGCUGGAGGCUAAUUAAUGUGUACAGGUAGGAUGCUCCAUCCCGUAAGAGGGAGGCCGCCUGUUCCCUCACCGGCUGCUGGCUGCAGCUCUCAUACUGAUAGCAUGUUGUUGCCAGUGUUGCCACCUCAUUAGAAAAUUAGCUUUUAAUUAACUUUGGAAGCUGUUGCAUGGGUUUCAAUAGGAGGCAUACAUUUGUACACAUCUUGUUGCAGAAUUAAACCGCCCCUCCAUGCUUCUAAUGGGCCUCUCCUGCCUCGCAGAAAACCAGCAGUCUAGCCGCUUGCAGGCAGCAGCUCCGUGGGUAGCAGUGGCCACGCAGCUCCAGCUUGCUCCCAAUUACAAAGAGAUGUCCCUUAGUGCCCUCGUAAGCAUCCCCUUACGCCAAGGCCACUUGAGACAUUAAGCGGCAACAGAGAGGACCGCGAUCCCAGAUGCUCCCCUUUCAUGCUUCUGACCCCCAACCUGGCUUUAAUGGCACAUAGUCUGGCAAAAAUGUGCCUUACCUCAUUUUUAUAUUUAAGCAUCUCUGCCUGAGCGCAGUGGUGAUAAACCUACAGACAAGAUAAAUAGCUAGAUGAUCACUCUUCUCCCCAGGGCAAAGUCAUGCUGUCAAUUAGGCUAAUGGGGGUUCCAGGUUCAGCUUUGGCAUGCCCUAACACUAGGGAAGGCUUUUUGUCCUGCAUCGCUGCAAAGCCCAAAGAUGGAUUUGAAACGUAGCUACAACCCUAGGGUGGCCAGUCAGCAAAGAGGGAAGUCAAGAAUCUGAUGAUUAAUCAUCUGCCGCAACAAUAGCAGAGCAGAGAGGAUGAGGCCCGCGAGACCAGAUCUUUUGAGCUCUAUUAUAAUUAUACAUCGCCUCUUUCAAUACUAUUUGGUGGCUUAAAAGGAGAUAUGGGUGUUUUCUCUUGAAGAAGUGAGGCUCCAUCCUUUACUAAAAAUAAGUGUUCUUUUGUCAUACUUUUUCAAAGCACUUACUCUGACAUCUCAUUUGAUCUUAUUACCAAUCUUGGAAGGACUUAGGGCAAGUGGCAUUUUUCUCAUUUUGCAGCUGAUGAAACUGUGCAACACAGCAGAGUUUAGUGAUUUGCCUGUGAUCACACAGCCAGCUGGUGAUGGCGUCAGGAUGACAACCCAAAUAAUCUAGCUUUCCUAAAUUUUUAUAUGGUUCUCUACUGCAUCAUACCUCAUUCUCCAGUCACAGAAAUUAAAUUAUGAACUGCUGACAAAUGAUUUUUUCAAUUGUAUCUGUUACAUUAUUUGUCAUGCAUUGAAGUAUAACCUAAAAAGUAGCACCUCUUGGCAAAUACAGUCUGCUAAACAAAGAAAUAAUUUAUUUAAUCCAGAAUUAGAAAGCAUAGGGUUAGCACUGAUUUAUUGAACAAUUGGGGGAAAUUGAGAUCAUAUUUUUUUUUAGAUACUAGUAGAAAAUGACAGACUGUGCAAUAUUGGGAUUUUCCAUUCCAAAGACUGCCUUUUUGCAGUAUUAACGUUAAAUUAUAAGCAGGGCGACCAUGUAGUCUUCUGAUUUACCUGGGCAGAUCCCAGUUUUCAGCUGAUAUCUAGGCAUUCAAUUGGUUUUAGAAUUUGUCCUGGAAAAAAAAAUUGACAACUUGAUAGUAAAUUCUGUGGCACCCCAAUUUGAAGUCAAAGAUUUAUCUUCUAGUUAUAUUGUCCCAGUGAGGAACCGAUGCUUCCACAGCUUAGCUGCUGCAAGUUUUUUAGGAAAUCUUUAUUAGUGUAUACUCCCUGUGCUUUCCUGGGAGCAGAUAAUAGUUGUGAAGAUGGCAACCACUCACUGGUCACUUUCUCUAGGCGAGGUGUUAUGCUUUACCUACAUCACUAUUGCCUUUAAUCAUCCCCAAGUGCCUCUGGGCUUCCCAGGUGGCGCUAGUGGUAAAGAACCAGCCUGCCAGUUCAGGAGACAUAAGAGACUCAGGUUUGAUCCCUGGGUUGGGAAGAUUCUCUGGAGGAUGGCAUGGCAACCCACUCCAGUAUUCUCGCCUGGAGAAUCCCAUGGACAGAGGAACUGCAGUCCACAGCGUCGCAAAGAGUUGGACACGACUGAAGCGACUGAGCACGCACAGCACGCAAGCCCUCUGAAAUAGUUACCACUAUUACCCAUAGUUUACAUAGGAAGACACUGAGGCUCACAGUAACCAAGUAACCAGCUCCAGAUCCAACAGAACAAGAAUCACGUGAGGUGCUUUGUUGAAAUGCUGGGCCUUGUUUCAGAGAUUGACUUGGUAGACUAUGGGAAUUUUCCUUUUUAUUAAACUCUUUGGGUAAUUCUGAU